CUUAAAAACACAACUAGAGUGAAUUUGUACCAGUGGAGGACUACCGCAAUCAGCGAACAUUUCAUCAAUUUUUAUCCCGUUAACUACUGCUGGACAAAGGACUAUUCUUCGAACUAUCUGUAUUGAAAACUAUAAACAUGAACCUCACGUCCGAGCUCACGUCCUCACGACAUUCAAGUUCAUCACACGGUAAUUCUUCCGGAAUCAAGAUUAAAGGCUGUUUUGACACACAGUGAACACACAGAAGCUCGUGUCCACCCAAAAAACGAAGCUUUCUUUCCAUGCAUAGUGCAAAAAUCCACCAUUUUACAAUUUUUUUUCGAUAAAUCUUUUCCGAAUCUUAUAAAACCUCGAGGUGUAAACACAGCGAAAG